AGAGUUUGAUCCUGGCUCAGGAUGAACGCUGGUGGCGUGCUUAACACAUGCAAGUCGAACGGGGAUUAUUUUGACAGAGACUUCGGUUGAAGUCGUUAUAAUCCUAGUGGCGGACGGGUGAGUAACGCGUGGGUAACCUGCCUCACACUGGGGGAUAACAGUCAGAAAUGACUGCUAAUACCGCAUAAGCGCACGGGAUUGCAUGAUCCAGUGUGAAAAACUCCGGUGGUGUGAGAUGGACCCGCGUUGGAUUAGCCAGUUGGCAGGGUAACGGCCUACCAAAGCGACGAUCCAUAGCCGGCCUGAGAGGGUGGACGGCCACAUUGGGACUGAGACACGGCCCAGACUCCUACGGGAGGCAGCAGUGGGGAAUAUUGCACAAUGGGGGAAACCCUGAUGCAGCGACGCCGCGUGAAGGAAGAAGUAUCUCGGUAUGUAAACUUCUAUCAGCAGGGAAGAAAAUGACGGUACCUGACUAAGAAGCCCCGGCUAACUACGUGCCAGCAGCCGCGGUAAUACGUAGGGGGCAAGCGUUAUCCGGAUUUACUGGGUGUAAAGGGAGCGUAGACGGAGCAGCAAGUCUGAUGUGAAAGGCGGGGGCUCAACCCCCGGACUGCAUUGGAAACUGUUGAUCUUGAGUACCGGAGAGGUAAGCGGAAUUCCUAGUGUAGCGGUGAAAUGCGUAGAUAUUAGGAGGAACACCAGUGGCGAAGGCGGCUUACUGGACGGUAACUGACGUUGAGGCUCGAAAGCGUGGGGAGCAAACAGGAAUAGAUACCCUGGUAGUCCACGCCGUAAACGAU
rnacentral:rRNA from 1 species